GGUAAGGUGACUGAGAACUAAGUAAUGGAUUGUAGCUCCACAGACAGAGGUUCAAUUCCUCUUCUUACC
rnacentral:tRNA from 1 species